AUUGAACGCUGGCGGCAGGCUUAACACAUGCAAGUCGAGCGGGGGAAGGUAGCUUGCUACCGGACCUAGCGGCGGACGGGUGAGUAAUGCUUAGGAAUCUGCCUAUUAGUGGGGGACAACAUCUCGAAAGGGAUGCUAAUACCGCAUACGUCCUACGGGAGAAAGCAGGGGAUCUUCGGACCUUGCGCUAAUAGAUGAGCCUAGGUCGGAUUAGCUAGUUGGUGGGGUAAAGGCCUACCAAGGCGACGAUCUGUAGCGGGUCUGAGAGGAUGGUCCGCCACACUGGGACGGAGACACGGCCCAGACUCCUACGGGAGGCAGCAGUGGGGAAUAUUGGACAAUGGGGGAACCCUGAUCCAGCCAGGCCGCGUGUGUGAUGAAGGCCUUAUGGUUGUAAAGCACUUUAAGCGAGGAGGAGGCUACUCUAGUUAAUACCUAGGGAUAGUGGACGUUACUCGCAGAAUAAGCACCGGCUAACUCUGUGCCAGCCGCCGCAGUAA
rnacentral:rRNA from 1 species